rnacentral:tRNA from 1 species
GAAGGUACAGCUCAGAGGUAGAGCGUGUGCUUAGCAUCCACGAGGUCCUGGGUUCAAUCCCCAAUGCCUCCA